UUUUCUCAUUUCAGAUUUCAGAAAUUAAAAAGAAUUAUUCUUCAAAUAUUAUUUUUUUUCAAAUUUCAAAUAUUGAAAAAUUUCAAGAAGUAAUCUUUAAUUGCACAGUAUGGCGCAUUAGAUUUUUAAAAUCUUUGACCACAUUUAUUUAUUUGUUAUGCCGAAUCUAACCGUGUAUUUAGAUUUUUAAUUUUGGGUCCAGUUUUCAAAUUGGUCUACAUUAAGGUCCAAAGGGUCCAAAAUUAAACUUUGUUUGAUUUUAACAAAAAUUGAAUUUAUGGGGUUCUUUGAUAUGCUGAAUCUAAACAUGUAUUUAGAUUUUUGAUUUUUGGCCCAGUUUUCAAGUUGGUCCAAAUUGGGGUCCAAAAUUAAACUUUGUUUUAUUUCAACAAAAAUUGAAUAUAUGGGGUUCUUUGAUAUGCUGAAUCUAACCAUGUAUUUAGAUUUUUUAUAUGUGGACCCCGCUAUCAAAUUGGUUCAUAUUGAGGUCAAAAGGGUCCAAAAUUAAACUUCGUUUGAUUUCAUCAAAAAUUGAAUUAUUGGGGUUCUUUGAUAUGCCAAAUAUAACCGUGUAUUUAGAUUUUUAAUUUUGGGUCCUGUUUUUUAAAUUUGUCUACAUUAAGGUCCAAAGGGUCCAAAAUUAAACUUAGUUUGAUUUUAACAAAAAUUGAAUUCUUGGGGUUCUUUGAUAUGCUGAAUCUAAACAUGUAUUUAGAUUUUAGAUUUUUGGCCCAGUUUUCAAGUUGGUCCAAAUUGGGGUCCAAAAUUAAACUUUGUUUGAUUUCAACAAAAAUUGAAUAUAUGGGGUUCUUUGAUAUGCUGAAUCUAACCAUGUAUUUAGAUUUUUUAUUUGUGAGCCCGCUAUCAAAUUGGUUCAUAUUGAGAUCAAAAGGGUCCAAAAUUAAACUUUGUUUGAUUUCAUCAAAAAUUGAAUUAUUGGGGUUCUUUGAUAUGACAAAUCUAACCGUGUAUUUAGAUUUUUAAUUUUGGGUCCAGUUUUUAUACGACCGCAAAAAAAUUUUGUGGUCGUAUAUUGGUAUGACGUUGGCGUCGUCGUCGUCGUCGUCAUCGUCCGGCGUCGUCGUCCGAAGACAUACUGGUUUUCGCACUCUAACUUUAGUUUAAGUGAAUGGAUCUUUUUGAAAUUUGACCAUAAGGUUAAAUACCACAAAAGGAAGGUUGGGAUUGAUUUUGGGGGUUAUGGUACCAACAGUUAAGGAAUUAGGGGCCAAAAAUAAGCAUUUUCUAGUUUCCAGACAAUAACUGUGGAACGGUGUAUGGAUCUCUCUGAAAUUAUACUACAAGUUUCCAUACCACAAAGGGAUGGUUAGGAUUUGCUUUGGGGGGUUAUGGCUCAAACCGUUUAGGAAUUAGGGGCAAAAAAGGGGGAAAAACAAGGUUGUCCUGGUUAAUGGACAAAUACUUUUGUACAAAACAUAAUUUAAAGCAGUGUAAGGGAGAUAAAUCAAAUACAUCAUUGAGAUUAUCUCCCUUACACUGCUUUUAAAUUAUGUAUAAAGUAAUGGUUAAUGAACAAUAAAGAUAAUUUAAAACAGUGUAAGGGAGGUAAUCAAAAUACAACGUUUUGGUUUCUUCCCUUACACUGCUUUUAAAUUAUGUUUAAAGAAAUGCAUAUCUAUAAAGGAAGACCAGUAAAAAUAUCUGCAAAUGUUGCAUCUUUUUUUUUUACAAAAAAAUCCAUAUGAAAGAUUUGACAGUAUAUUUUUCAUUCUAUUAUAAAAUAGAUUAAGUUAGCACUAUGGUAAAUUUAAAUGGGUAAUUAUGGUUGCCAACUCCAUUGGACAUUUGAAUUGAGAUUAUGACCAUAUCUUGAGGGAAAGAAUUUUUUGGGGAAAAAAAGGGGGGGGGGAUAAAAAGAAAUUGUGGGGGGUCAAUUUUUUCUCAUUUCAGAUAUCAGAAAUUAAAAAGAAUUAUUCUUCAAAUAUUAUUUUUUUUUCAAAUUUCAAAUAUUGAAAAAUUUCAAGAAGUAAUCUUUAAUUGCACAGUAUGGCGCAUUAGAUUUGUAAAAUCUUUGAUCACAUUUAUUUAUUUGUUAUGCCGAAUCUAACAGUGUAUUUAGAUUUUUUAUUUUGGGUCCAGUUUUCAAAUUGGUCUACAUUAAGGUCCAAAGGGUCCAAAAUUAAACUUUGUUUGAUUUUAGCAAAAAUUGAAUAUAUGAGGUUCUUUGAUAUGCUGAAUCUAAACAUGUAUUUAGAUUUUUGAUUUUUUGGCCCAGUUUUCAAGUUGGUCCAAAUUGGGGUCCAAAAUUAAACUUUGUUUGAUUUCAACAAAAAUUGAAUAUGUGGGGUUCUUUGAUAUGCUGAAUCUAACCAUGUAUUUGGAUUUUUUAUUUGUGGACCCCGUUAUCAAAUUGGUUCAUAUUGAGGUCAAAAGGGUCCAAAAUUAAACUUUGUUUGAUUUCAUCUAAAAUUGAAGUAUUGGGGUUCUUUGAUAUUCCAAAUCUAACCGUGUAUUUAGAUUUUUAAUUUUUGGUCCUGUUUUUUAAAUUUGUCUACAUUAAGGUCCAAAGGGUCCAAAAUUAAACUUAGUUUGAUUUUAACAAGAAUUGAAUUCUUGGGGUUCUUUGAUAUGCUGAAUCUAAACAUGUGUUUAGAUUUUUGAUUAUGGGCCCAGUUUUCAAGUUGGUCCAAAUUGGGGUCCAAAAUUAAACUUUGUUUGAUUUCAACAAAAAUUGAAUAUAUGAGGUUCUUUGAUAUGCUGAAUCUAACCAUGUAUUUAGAUUUUUGAUUAUGGGCCCAGUUUUCAAGUUGGUCUCAAUUGGGGUCCAAAAUUAAACUUUGUUUGAUUUCAACAAAAAUUGAAUAUAUGAGGUUCUUUGAUAUGCUGAAUCUAACCAUGUAUUUAGAUUUUUUAUUUGUGGGCCCCGCUAUCAAAUUGGUUCAUAUUGAGGUCAAAAGGGUCCAAAAUUAAACUUUGUUUGAUUUCAUCAAAAAUUGAAUUAUUGGGGUUCUUUGAUAUGCCAAAUCUAACCGUGUUUUUAGAUUUUUAAUUUGGGUCCCGUUUUUUAAAUUGGUCUUCAUUGAGGUCCAAAGGGUCCAAAAUUAAACUUAGUUUGAUUUUAACAAAAAUUGAAUUCUUGGGGUUCUUUGAUAUGCUGAAUCUAAACAUGUGUUUAGAUUUUUGAUUAUGGGCCCAGUUUUCAAGUUGGGGUCCAAAAUUAAACUUUUUUUGAUUUCAACAAAAAUUGAAUAUAUGGGGUUCUUUGAUAUGCUGAAUCUAACCAUGUAUUUUGAUUUUUUAUUUGUGGGCCCCGCUAUCAAAUUGGUUCAUAUUGAGGUCAAAAGGGUCCAAAAUUAAACUUUGUUUGAUUUCAACAAAAAUUGAAUAUAUGGGGUUCUUUGAUAUGCUGAAUCUAACCAUGUAUUUUGAUUUUGGACAUUGGACCAUAAUAGGUAAAUCAAAAAAAUUCAAGUUCUUAGACCACAUUCUUUCUGUGUCAGAAACCUAUGCUGUGUCAAAUAUUUAAUCACAAUCCAAAUUCAGAGCUGUAUCAAGCUUGAAUGUUGUGUCCAUACUUGCCCCAACUGUUCAGGGUUCGACCUCUGCGGUCGUAUCAAGCUGUGCCCAGCGAAGCAUUUUAUUAUGUCCUUGUUUACUUAAACUAACCAACAAAUUUGCAGAAAUGAAACUUUUGGUGAAAGAGAAAUAUAUUAAGACCAUUUUUAGCCAAAAUUUACUUGUCUAUGAGUUUGCAUUAAAAAUUGAGGAUUAAUGCGCUCCAUAGUAUACUAAUUUAAGAUUUCCAGAAAACCGGGGGUUAUUUUUGGAGUACCUCUUUUUGAAGGUCAGUUUUUUUCUAAGAAGGCUGUAAAUGUAUGUUGUAAAUUGGCAUGCAGAAAGCUGAUACAUGUACAAUUCAGGAUAUACCUGGUUUCUAUGAAGUUAAACUUAAGGUAAAAUAUUUAGAAAGCUGUGAAAAUUGCAAAAUUUGGUUGAACAGAUAGGGAUAUUUAAUUGGUGGUCUGACACCUUUAUUUUCGUUUUCCUCCCAAAAUAACCCAAACUAAAUAAUCAUAAGCGAGGAUGACAAAUGCGACUAUGCAUGGUACCUAUAUGACACAGAGGCAUGAUGAUUAAUUUAUUGUGGAAGGAAGAGAAGCGACACGCAAAAUGAGGUCUUCUCAUUUAAUAGUAUAGAUAGAUUACCGCGAAGACGUAAUCCUGGUGUCAGCCCGAUGACAAAAGCAGGUGUAUAAGGUUACAACCAUAGGACAUUUGUACAUCAACUAGUUGUAGGAAUUAAUCUCUGUAAAUAAGUAAAUAGAAUUGUUUUAUGGAUUAUGAAUAAAACGAUUUUUGGGGUAUGUGUGAGUGAGCGGACAGUAACACAACGUCAUAUUAAAUUAUCCCCCCCCCGCUAUUAAGAACUGUCAACAUCAAUUUCAUCAAUGAUAACUAUCGCCCUGGUGUUCUCUUGGCAGGAUGUUCCGGAGUCCAUAAAAAAGACUUGAAACAUUUGUAUUUGUUGCUUCUCCGCUUCUGUGAACUAGCACGCUGGCUCAGCGUGAUCCUAGUCUUUGGUAUGUAUGUGAUAUUUGCCACUGUAUUAACUCGUCCAUCCAAUGAUAAAAAAAGCAAUAAUACAAUACACCAAAUGACUGAUUUUCAAGACUUAGAACAGGGGCGGGUUAAACUAGACAUUUUGAGCAAUGAUUGGACCACAAACAGAUAAUUAAACCUACAUCAAUGAGUUGAAGCCAUAAACAAUAUUUUAAUUUGAAAGCUGUGUGAAAUUCUUCACUUUUAAAUUAAUGAAUUAUAUAUGUUUGUGUUCGUGAUAAAUAAAAUACAGUUCUACCAGUUGA